AGAGGGUUGGCAGAAUUGGUUAUUGCACCAGUCUUGAAAACUGGCGACCGAAAGGUUAUAAGGGUUCGAGUCCCUUGCCCUCUGCCA
rnacentral:tRNA from 1 species